UAUUGAUUGGUGCUUGCAUCAUGAUUUACAUUUGAGUGAGUGGCGAACUGGUGAGUAACACGUGGGAAACCUGCCCAGAAGCGGGGGAUAACACCUGGAAACAGAUGCUAAUACCGCAUAACAACUUGGACCGCAUGGUCCGAGUUUGAAAGAUGGCUUCRGCUAUCACUUUUGGAUGGUCCCGCGGCGUAUUAGCUAGAUGGUGGGGUAACGGCUCACCAUGGCAAUGAUACGUAGCCGACCUGAGAGGGUAAUCGGCCACAUUGGGACUGAGACACGGCCCAAACUCCUACGGGAGGCAGCAGUAGGGAAUCUUCCACAAUGGACGAAAGUCUGAUGGAGCAACGCCGCGUGAGUGAAGAAGGGUUUCGGCUCGUAAAACUCUGUUGUUAAAGAAGAAUAUAUCUGAGAGUAACUGUUCAGGUAUUGACGGUAUUUAACCAGAAAGCCACGGCUAACUACGUGCCAGCAGCCGCGGUAAUACGUAGGUGGCAAGCGUUGUCCGGAUUUAUUGGGCGUAAAGCGAGCGCAGGCGGUUUUUUAAGUCUGAUGUGAAAGCCUUCGGCUCAACCGAAGAAGUGCAUCGGAAACUGGGAAACUUGAGUGCAGAAGAGGACAGUGGAACUCCAUGUGUAGCGGUGAAAUGCGUAGAUAUAUGGAAGAACACCAGUGGCGAAGGCGGCUGUCUGGUCUGUAACUGACGCUGAGGCUCGAAAGUAUGGGUAGCAAACAGGAUUAGAUACCCUGGUAGU
rnacentral:rRNA from 2 species